CACGUAGGGGGCAAGCGUUGUCCGGAUUUAUUGGGCGUAAAGAGCUCGUAGGCGGUUCGGUAAGUUGGGUGUGAAACCUCCAGGCUCAACCUGGAGACGCCACCCGAUACUGCUGUGACUAGAGUCCGGUAGGGGAGCGUGGAAUUCCUGGUGUAGCGGUGAAAUGCGCAGAUAUCAGGAGGAACACCAGCGGCGAAGGCGGCGCUCUGGGCCGGAACUGACGCUGAGGAGCGAAAGCUAGGGGAGCAAACGGG
rnacentral:rRNA from 1 species